rnacentral:rRNA from 1 species
GUAGUCAUAUGCUUGUCUCAAAGAUUAAGCCAUGCAUGUCUAAGUAUAAGCAAUUACAAAGCGAAACUGCGAAUGGCUCAUUAUAUAAGUUAUCGUUUAUUUGAUAGUACCUUACUACAUGGAUAACCGUGGUAAUUCUAGAGCUAAUACAUGCUGAAAAUCCCGACUUCGGAAGGGAUGUAUUUAUUAGAUACAAAACCAAUGCCCUUCGGGGCUCUCUUGGUGAUUCAUGAUAACUUCUCGAAUCGCACGGCCCCGCGCCGGCGAUGGUUCAUUCAAAUUUCUUCCCUAUCAACUUUCGAUGCUACGGUAUUGUCCUAGCAUGGUUGCAACGGGUGACGGAGGGUUAGGGCUCGACCCCGGAGAAGGAGCCUGAGAAACGGCUACUACAUCCAAGGAAGGCAGCAGGCGCGCAAAUUACCCAAUCCCGACUCGGGGAGGUAGUGACGAUAAAUACCGAUACAGGGCUCUUUUGGGUCCUGUAAUUGGAAUGAGUACAAUUCAAAUCCCUUAACGAGGAACAAUUGGAGGGCAAGUCUGGUGCCAGCAGCCGCGGUAAUUCCAGCUCCAAUAGCGUA